rnacentral:pre_miRNA from 7 species
CUUCGGGGUUCCUGGGUGUCACGCAGAUCUCGGUGGGACCUCCAAAUGAAAGAACUCAGUGGGGGAAACCCCCACUCUGCUCCCGAUUCGGCGUGCACCCAAGAAUCACGAAUAGAACA